rnacentral:lncRNA from 1 species
GAGUAAUGUUCUCAAGAGAGGCUGGAAGUUUGGGAUAUGAGUGGCUGAGUGGAAGUGUUGGAAUUCCUGCAGUGGAGGUAUCUCCUUGGAAACUGAGAUGGAAAAGAGUAAGGAAUGUGGAGCUCUUAACAACAGGCAAUGACAUCUGUGAAGAGCAGAUAUGAGGGCAGUAUGGAGAACAAAGCAGGCCAGGCAGGUGCCCUUGGCUUUCAGUUGCUGUUUCUUACCAGACAAAGAAAAGAUCUCUCACUCCACAAAUGCUGGUUUUGAAGAGUCUCCUGGAAGAAGAGCAUUAUCUGAAGGUCCAGAUUGUCAGCUGGUUCUCCCCCCGCAACAUUUCAGAGCUGAGAAAUAUGAAAUGCCCUAUGAUUCAGAACAGUGGUUCAACUGCCUCCAAACCAAAGCCUUUGUAUUCUGCCUGGAUGAGAACUAG